rnacentral:rRNA from 1 species
UACGUAGGUGGCAAGCGUUGUCCGGAUUUACUGGGCGUAAAGAGCGCGCAGGCGGUCGAGUAAGUCGAAUGUGAAAGCCCCCGGCUUAACUGGGGAGGGUCAUUCGAUACUGUUCGACUUGAAGGCAGGAGAGGGCAGCAGGAAUUCCCGGUGUAGUGGUGAAAUGACGUAGAUAUCGGGAGGAAUACCAGUGGCGAAGGCGGCUGCCUGGCCUGUUCUUGACGCUGAGGCGCGAAGGCUGGGGGAGCAACGGG